rnacentral:rRNA from 1 species
AACGACGCUGGCGGCAUGCCUAACACAUGCAAGUCGAACGAGACCUUCGGGUCCAGUGGCGCCCGGGUGCGUCACGCGUGGGAACCUGCCCUUAGGUUCGGAAUAACCCCCCGAAAGGGGUGCUAAUACCGGAUAAUGUCUUCGGACCAAAGAUUUAUCGCCUUUGGAUGGGCCCGCGUUGGAUUAGCUAGUUGGUAGGGUAAAAGCCUACCAAGGCGACGAUCCAUAGCUGGUCUGAGAGGAUGAUCAGCCACACUGGGACUGAGACACGGCCCAGACUCCUACGGGAAGCAGCAGUGGGGAAUAUUGGACAAUGGGCGAAAGCCUGAUCCAGCAAUGCCGCGUGAGUGAUGAAGGCCUUAGGGUUGUAAAGCUCUUUUACCCGGGAUGAUAAUGACAGUACCGGGAGAAUAAGCUCCGGCUAACUCCGUG